rnacentral:lncRNA from 10 species
GGCAUGAUGGUGGGCAGCCUGUAAUCCCAGCUACUCAGGAGGAUGAGGCAGGAGAAUUGCUUAAACUCGGGAGGCAGAGGUUGCAGUGAGCCGAGAUCGUGCCACUGCUCUCAAGCCUGGGCAACAGGGCAAGACUAUGUCACAAAAUAAUAAUAGAAAUUUUCAGAAGAAAAUUAAAAAUUUGUUGUUUGACACCUACAUCUAUGGUUCAAUAUGUUAUAUAAUAGAAAUAUUAAAUUGCAGAACAUUUUAAAAAUAGUAUAUUUUAUAAAACAAAUGGGAGUAAUAUAAAAAAUUACUCUAAGGUUAUAUUUAAUAUAUUAAUAUAUAAUAAACAUAAAUAUUCUAUAAUAUUUUAUGUAAGACAGGGUCUAGCUUUGUACCCAGGCUGGAGUGCAAUGGUGUGAUCUUGGCACACUGUAGUCUUGAACUCCUGGGUUCAAGCAAUCCUCCUAUCCCAGCUUCUCGAAUAGCUGGAACUACAGGUGUGCACCACCGUGCCUGGCUAAUUCUAUAUUUUAUUUAUGUGUUUAUUUAUUUUUUGAGAUAGAGUCUUGCUCUAUUGCCCAGGCUGGACUGUAGUCGCAUGAUCUCAGUUCACUGCAACCUCUGCCUCCCAGGUUCAAGCAAUUCUCAUGACUCAGUCAACCCAAGUAGCUGGGAUAAUAGGUGUGCACCACCAUGCCCAGCUAAUUUUUGUAUUUUUAGUGGAGACAGUGUUUUGCCAAGUUGGCCAGGCUGGUCAAAAACUCCUGGCCUAAGUGAUCUGCCUGCCUUGGCCUCGCAAAGUGCUGGGAUUACAGGCAUGAGCCACCGUGC